rnacentral:rRNA from 1 species
UUUUUCAAAACAUCGCUCCUUGUUAGUUAUAGACGUAAGGAGUCGUACCUGCCCAGUGAAGAAUUUAAACGGCCGCAGUACCCUGACUGUGCUAAGGUAGCAUAAUCAUUUGCCUUUUAAUUGAAGGCUGGAAUGAAUGGUUUGACGAUAGCUUAACUGUCUCUAUUACAUUAUAUAAAAAUUAAUUUUAAGGUGCAGAAGCCUUGAUAAAAUCAAUAGACGAAAAGACCCUGUCGAGCUUAAAAAUUGGUAUAAAAUCUAUGGAAUUUUAGUAGAAUCUAUUUUUAUAUUUGUUUUUUUGUUGGGGUGACAGAAGAACAUAAUUAGCUUCUUUUUAUUAAGAAAACUUAUAUGUUGUAUUGAUCUUUAUAUAAACAAAAAAGAAAAGUUACCGCAGGGAUAACAGCGUUAUUUUUCUGGAGAGUUCAAAUUGAAAGAAAAGAUUGCGACCUCGAUGUUGGAUUAGAAGACCUAAUAGGCGAAGAAGCUUAUUUAUGGGGGUCUGUUCGACCUUUAAAUUUCUACAUGAUCUGAGU